AAUCUCUAACGAUACUAAAAAACACUUCUGCUGCAACAUCAACUCCUUCCCUUCCUCUUCAAUUCUUUCAACAUAUUACAGAGGGUAGUUUCACCAAAAGAAUACAAGUGAUGAAGUAUAAAACUAUACUAACAAUAUGAUCAUAAUUCAUGUACAACAAUCUCGCUUCUUGCGCGACAAACAGACAUAUACUGAGAGUUUUCGAAUGAUGU
rnacentral:misc_RNA from 1 species